CUGGUUGAUCCUGCCAGACCCGACUGCUAUCGGAUUGGGACUAAGCCAUGCGAGUCAACUCCGCAAGGGGUGGCGCACGGCUCAGUAACACGUAGUCAGCCUACCCUGGGGACGGGGAUAACCUCGGGAAACUGAGGCUAAACCCCGAUGGGCCAUGGCUCCUGGAAUGGGCUAUGGCUGAAAUCUACAUGGCCCCAGGAUGGGACUGCGGCCGAUCAGGUUGUUGGUGGGGUAAUGGCCCACCAAGCCUAUAACCGGUGCGGGCUCUGAGAGGAGGAGCCCGGAGAUAGGCACUGAGACAAGGGCCCAGGUCCUAUGGGGCGCAGCAGGCGCGAAACCUCCGCAAUGGGCGAAAGCCCGACGGGGUCAGUCCGAGUGGUUCCUGCUGAGGGAACCUUUUGCCAGCUGUAAACAGGCUGGCGAAUAAGGGGUGGGCAAGUUUGGUGUCAGCCGCCGCGGUAAUACCAGCACCCCGAGUGGUCGGGACGAUUAUUGGGCCUAAAGCAUCCGUAGCCGGCCCAGUGAGUCCUCCGUUAAAUCCAACGGCUCAACCGUUGGGCUGCGGGGGAUACUGCUGGGCUAGGGGACGGGAGAGGCGAAGGGUAUUCCCGGGGUAGGGGUAAAAUCCACUGAUCCCGGGAGGACCACCAGUGGCGAAGGCGCCUCGCUAGAACGUGCCCGACGGUGAGGGAUGAAAGCUGGGGGAGCGAACCGGAUUAGAUACCCGGGUAGUCCCAGCCGCAAACGAUGUAGGCUCGGUGUUGGGCUGCCUCAGUGGCAGCCCAGUGCCGCAAGGAAGCCGUUAAGCCUACCGCCUGGGGAGUACGGCCGCAAGGCUGAAACUUAAAGGAAUUGGCGGGGGAGCACCAC
rnacentral:rRNA from 1 species